rfam:Dipodomys ordii contig_73433, whole genome shotgun sequence.
GGGAAUGUGGCUUAGUGGUAGAGUGCUUGCCUAGUAUGCAUGAAGCCCUCGGUUCAAUUCCUCAGUACCA